UACAGAGGGGGCAAGCGUUGUUCGGAAUUACUGGGCGUAAAGGGCGCGUAGGUGGCCUUCUAAGUUGAACGUGAAAUCCCUGGGCUCAACCCAGGAACUGCGUCCAAGACUGGGAGGCUUGAAUCCGGGAGAGGGAUGCGGAAUUCCAGGUGUAGCGGUGAAAUGCGUAGAUAUUGGGAGGAACACCAGUGGCGAAGGCGGCUCACUGGACCGGAACUGACGCUGAGGCGCGAAAGCGUGGGGAGCAAACAGG
rnacentral:rRNA from 1 species